rnacentral:sRNA from 1 species
UGUUAUACCUGGAGUCCCCAGCUGGGGUGGGCUUCUCCUACUCCGAUGACAAGUUUUAUGCAACUAAUGACACUGAGGUCGCCCAGAGCAAUUUUGAGGCCCUUCAAGAUUUCUUCCGCCUCUUUCCGGAGUACAAGAACAACAAACUUUUCCUGACCGGGGAGAGCUAUGCUGGCAUCUACAUCCCCACCCUGGCCGUGCUGGUCAUGCAGGAUCCCAGCAUGAACCUUCAGGUGCAGGGUAGCUGCAGGAGGGAAGGGAGGUAGCUUGAGGCUGUGGCCUUACAGUUAGCAAGGUUAGACUGGUCAAUGUCCCCAUCCAACCCAGCUUCCUGCAUAACCUCCCCACCACUGGCUGCCCUAGGUCUGUCUGUGUGCCUCCCACACAGGAAACUCACCUGUCAGGCUGCCAGCUCUGUGUUUUGCAUUGAGUGGCCUCCCAUACCCACCGGCCUACAUAAACCACCCUGGGUUUCAGCUUCCGGAUUGCUGAAGGUCUGGGUGUUAGGGUGAGGGAGGCUCUUCCUUUUUGCCCUCUACAUGAGCUGAGCACCCUGGGUGUUUCACAGGGGCUGGCUG